CGGGCGGGUGAGUAAUGUCUGGGAAACUGCCUGAUGGAGGGGGGUAACUACUGGAAACGGUAGCUAAUACCGCAUAACGUCGCAAGACCAAAGAGGGGGACCUUCGGGCCUCUUGCCAUCGGAUGUGCCCAGAUGGGAUUAGCUAGUAGGUGGGGUAACGGCUCACCUAGGCGACGAUCCCUAGCUGGUCUGAGAGGAUGACCAGCCACACUGGAACUGAGACACGGUCCAG
rnacentral:rRNA from 1 species